rnacentral:rRNA from 1 species
AACGGACGCUGGCGGCAGGCUUAACACAUGCAAGUCGAGCGCGCAGUUUACUGCCAGCGGCAGACGGGUGAGUAACGCGUGGGAAUCUACCCAGAACUACGGAAUAACAUGAAGAAAUAUGUGCUAAUACCGUCUACGCGCUUCGGGGGAAAGAUUUAUUGGUUUUGGAUGAGCCCGCGUUGGAUAAGCUAGUUGGUAGGGUAAGGGCCUACCAAGGCGACGAUCCAUAGCUGGUCUGAGAGGAUGAUCAGCCACACUGGGACUGAGACACGGCCCAGACUCCUACGGGAGGCAGCAGUGGGGAAUAUUGGACAAUGGGCGCAAGCCUGAUCCAGCCAUGCCGCGUGAGUGAUGAAGGCCUUAGGGUUGUAAAGCUCUUUCACCGGUGAAGAUAAUGACGGUAACCGGAGAAGAAGCCCCGGCUAACUUCGUGCCAGCCGCCGCAGUAA